rnacentral:lncRNA from 1 species
CUUUUAUUCAUGAGCAAUUCAUCCCCAAAAUGAAUUUGGAAAACUCUUGCUUCAAGUACUUACUGAAACAUGAUCAAGAGACUUGCUGAAUAUUUUGAUGUGACUCUUUAUUGUAAUCUAAAUAUCAACUGUCUGGGUCAUCACAUUGUGACAACACUGAAAAGUAACAAUUACCCAUUAUUAUGCUUUUCAAUUUCCAGUUCUCAAAAGUGAAUGGCUCUGUGUUCACUCUGUACUUUGGCAUGAAGCUCAUUGUGAUAUUGCAUGGAUAUGCAGCAACAAAAGAAGGCUUGAUUGAUCACGGAGAGGAGUUUACUAAAAGAGGAAGCUUCCCAGUAGCUGAAAAAAUUAAUAAAGGCCUUGGUGAUGAACAGAUCUUCAAUUACUAUGUGAAUGCUACUCAACCCUGAAAUACAUUUCAUAGAACAGUCAAGUUAUCUGCUUAAAUUAUGAAGAAACUUGUCUUUAAGUACUUUCUCCAAAAUAAAAUGAAGACUGACAAUCAUAUUUUGGUGAAGUUUAAAAUUUCUCCAGGGAUUUUACCCAUUAACAAAGAUAAAGUGCCCUCUUGGUAUAUUUUAAUAACAUAUUACAAUUGUUUCCCAUUCCUCAGGCUCACCCUGUGACCCUACCUUCAUCUUGGGCUGUGCUCCCCUUGCAAUGUCAUCUGCUCCAUUAUUUUCCAGAAUUCUUUUGAUUAUAAAGAUCAAGAUUUUCUUAGCUUGAUGGAAAAGCUCAAUGAGAACAUCAAGAUUGUGAGCAGUCCCUGGAUAUAGGUGAAGAAAAUUCAUCUCCUCCUGAAAGCAAAGUUAUGAUUAUUCUUUUUCACAGAUCAAAUUGAAAGACCCCCAGACUUGGGGAGACUCUCGCUCCAGUCACGGGUUGGGGUACCCCCAGGAAACACGAGAAGCCGGUCUUGAUGUAAUCAGCAAGAGGCAGUUUUAUUUAUGAGAUCUCGGGCUGACACGUAUCUCACACAGGAGAUUGAGUCAAGCCCCAAGCCUCUCUAGGCAGGAGCUUAUAUAGGGAAAACCAGGGGUUUCAUGUUUAUACACAUAAUUGGCUAAUACAAAGGGUGCACAGUUAUUUUUUUUGCGCGGAAUUGUGUUAACAAAGCAUUCUAGUAUCUUAGCAAUAUGGGCAAGGUGGCUUAUCUCGCUCAGCAAAGAGAUGACUCAUAUUAGGGAGUGAAUGAAGGGAAGGGGAAGAGAAGGGAGGUAGCUCCAGGGGUAGCUCAAGAUGGCCAGUGUCCUUGGAGCCCUAUCUCAGAUUCUUUUAGGCAUAGCCAGACAUUGUAUGACUAACUUUUAGAAAUUUUAACCCUUCAAAAUUACACGUGGGGGNGCCCUGGACUAACAGUGAUGUAAUGGUACCCAUGCCCUGCCUAGAGUAGUAUGAAUGGGACCUCUGGAAGAGAGGUCUAUGUCCUUCGCUAAACCAACAGAUAAACAAAACACAAAUGCCAAGAUAGCUCAAGCUGCUUAUCUUCCUAUGUGAUGUUAUUUUUAUUUGACACACAGAGAGGUUUUUCUACAAAUUAAUCCAUUGAUUUUUAGAAAGAUAUUCAGUCACUCAUAGAAGAACAUUCUUGAACUACUCACAAGUUCUUUUACUAUCAAUAAUUAAAACCUACCCAUUUAUGUAUUUGGCAUAAAUACCUUAGUGUAGACAGAAAAUAUUAUUCUAAAGGUAUUUUGGAUAAUGAUACAGGAAGCACUGAAACCACUGAAAUGUAUGCUGCUUUAUUUUGGAUCCUCCACGACAAGGGAACAGGAAGAAAUGAUAAUAUGAAUGGUGGAUCACGAAUAUGUUCACAAUCUUUCCCUGUGAUGAAUUAGCAUAUCCUGCUCUCUGCCUAUAUACUAGUUAUGGACCACAAAGAAGUAAAUAAUGGUGUGCAAUUUUUGUCAAGGAAUCUUUAGAGGCCCACACAAUUCUAAAUUCUCACUUCAUGUCAGAGAUUGGCUGAUUGAAAAGCUUUCUGCAGUAAAUUAUUUACCCUAUUUUCUUAGCAUGUACUAGCAUCCAAAGUGUAUGGAUUACAUUACUUCAUAUCAUAUGAUAUUUAAAAUUUAUAGGCAAAAUUGAAUUAUUACUGAAUGUGAAAAUAUUCCCUGUGAAACAGGACUAUAUGGGCACGAUUUUCUUCCUCAAUUUUUCUACUACAUAGAAUUUAUAUAUAAUUUUAUUAUGUAUAAAAAGGAGCAACUCUUCUUCAAGGUGAAAAUAAAUCAUUUAUGGGACUAUAAAUCAAAAUCAGACUUGCUAGAUUAUAGUAUGUAUGUAUUUCUUUAUUAUACCUUAUGCAUUUAAUUAAUUCUUGGUGUUUUUCCUUGUAGUUCUGCAGCUCUUUCCCUGUUUUCAUUGAUUAUUGUCCGGGAAGUCAUAUGACAUUAGCUAAAAAUGUGUAUCAUACUAGAAACUACAUUCUGAAGAAAAUAAAAGAACAUCAAGAAUCACUGGAUGUUACAAAUCCUCAUGACUUUAUUGAUUAUUACCUAAUUAAUUGGAAGCAGGUAAAGUGUUGGUAUAUACUCAUUUAUUUCAUUUUUCAAGUAUUUUCUCAUUCACUGAAUACUUAAAUAUUUGCCAGAGCUUUGUAAACA